GACGAACGCUGGCGGCGUGCUUAACACAUGCAAGUCGAACGGAAAGGCCCUGCUUGCAGGGUACUCGAGUGGCGAACGGGUGAGUAACACGUGGGUGAUCUGCCCUGCACUUCGGGAUAAGCCUGGGAAACUGGGUCUAAUACCGGAUAGGAGCCAUUUUUAGUGUGAUGGUUGGAAAGUUUUUUUCGGUGUAGGAUGAGCUCGCGGCCUAUCAGCUUGUUGGUGGGGUAAUGGCCUACCAAGGCGGCGACGGGUAGCCGGCCUGGGAGGGUGGACGGCCACAUUGAGACUGAGAUACGGCCCAGACUCCUACGGGAGGCAGAAGUGGGGAAUAGUGCACAAUGGGCGCAAGCCUGAUGCAGCGACGCCGCGGGGGGGAUGACGGCCUUCGGGUUGGAAACUCAUUUCGCUAGGGACGAAGCUUUUUGUGACGGUACCUAGAGAAGAAGCACCGGCUAACUACGUG
rnacentral:rRNA from 1 species